AACGAACGCUGGCGGCAUGCCUAACACAUGCAAGUCGAACGAGACCUUCGGGUCUAGUGGCGCACGGGUGCGUAACGCGUGGGAACCUGCCCUUAGGUUCGGAAUAACUCCCCGACAGGGGUGCUAAUACCGGAUAAUGUCUUCGGACCAAAGGUUUAUCGCCUUUGGAUGGGCCCGCGUUGGAUUAGCUAGUUGGUAGGGUAAAAGCCUACCAAGGCGAGGAUCCAUAGCUGGUCUGAGAGGAGGAUCAGCCACACUGGGACUGGGACCCGGCCCAGACUCCUACGGGAGGCAGCAGUGGGGAAUAUUGGACAAUGGGCGAAAGCCUGAUCCAGCAAUGCCGGGUGAGUGAUGAAGGCCUUAGGGUUGUAAAGCUCUUUUACCCGGGAGGAUAAUGACAGUACCGGGAGAAUAAGCUCCGGCUAACUCCGUG
rnacentral:rRNA from 1 species